UACGUAGGGUGCAAGCGUUGUCCGGAAUUAUUGGGCGUAAAGAGCUCGUAGGCGGUCUGUCGCGUCGAUCGUGAAAAACUUGGGGCUUAACCCUGAGCUUGCGGUCGAUACGGGCAUGACUGGAGUGCGGUAGGGGAGACUGGAAUUCCUGGUGUAGCGGUGAAAAUGCGCAGAUAUCAGGAGGAACACCGGUGGCGAAGGCGGGUCUCUGGGCAGUAACUGACGCUGGAGGAGCGAAAGCGUGGGGAGCGAACAGG
rnacentral:rRNA from 1 species